CUCUACAGCUGUUGUAUUAAGACCACGCCAUGCCAUAUUAACUAACCCUGCACCCCCUGCACCCAUAUAUAACUAACUCCAAAUACAGAGAGUUGAAGUGUCAGUGUCACACUGGACACAUUGGAGGUGUUGUUUCUAUUUCAGAAUUACCUGAGACUCAGAGCUAACAAUGAAAUGAUGACAAAAGUAGACCUGGGGCUUUCCAAAAGAGCCUUUCUGGGCUGUGUAAUUUACUCAGGAUACGAUGCACUAUAGUGGCACGGUCACAAAUUGUAUAAGUGUAAAUGUUAUUUCUCUCUUGUAUUACAUGGGGCUAACAAUGAAAUGAGGCCAAAAUGAGAGCAUAUAAGGACCCCACUCAGGUCUCCAGCCACUGUUAGCCCCCCUGGCUAUUGCUAAGUGGGACAAUGUUUCCAAAGAAACUAUUUUGCCUAAACUUUGCAAUUUAGUGUUAAAAUCACAGAUAUUCAGUGCUUUUAGAAUAGACCAUUCACUUUCAGACUUUUCCCCCUCAAUCCUUUCCUCCUCUAUAACCUCACUACAUUUACAUGGUUGGCAAUACUAAUUCACAUUACAAUAAAGAGUUGACACAAUAAUGGCAUACAAUUUCUUUAAUUUGUAGGGCACAGAUAGUGGUCCAAUUUCCGGACAAUUCAUUUCAAACUACCUAUAUAUGCAAGCUAUACACAACAUUAACUUAAAUCUUUUAAGUACUUAAUUUAGAAAAUCAGUCUACCCCAGCGUUACCUCAGCGCUGUGUGGGACUGCUUGUAGGAGCGUUUAUGUGCAAGAGCCAUGCUGUCUUAACCCCCACCCUCCCUUUUUGUUCAUUGUUUGUUGUGGUGUUUGUAAUUUAAGGAAGAGGAAUGUCAUCCUCAUGGCUAAAGUUUAGAGGAUGGAUAUAAAUGGUAUUUUUUACAUAUAAUGAAGGGAGAAGCGCUUGAUGGAAUUAUCAGAUAUGACAAAGGAUGAAAUAAGACAAAGGAACAACAGUAGAACAACUAUAUAGUGUAGUAAGUUGAAUACUGGUUGUAAAUAAAGAAAGAGAUGCACUUACAGUGUGUAGAGCUAUCAGUAAGCUCUUCUUUUAUGCGCCAGGGCGGUAUAAUCCCCGCCUGAGGAUGUGAGGUGUAUCUCUUGUGGGGUGGUCUGGAGACAAUGAAAUAAUUACAAAAUGGAUGCUAAUAUAGUGUAGUUUCCUUAGUUUCAAGGAUGGGGAAAAUAUAGUAUUUAAAUAUACACUCACAUUUUAGCCCUGAGUUCCAUGUAAUACAUGAGAUAAAUGACAUUUAUAAUUAUAUAAUUUGUGACAGUGCCACUAUAGUGCACCAUAUUUAUCUAAAAUCAGCUUGCAAAACUUCCAGGUCUCUUGUCUGCUGCCUUUGCAAACCCUCCCCUUCUAACCCGCCCAGACUUUCUGUGGUUGUCCAAUCACAGACUUCCCAAAGCAGCUCAAUGAUAGGUUUCUGCAAGGCAGGUGCUCUCGGCAAUUGCAUGGCUCAAGUUUCGCUCCACUGAGCUAAGCAACCAGGAAGUAACAGGACCUGUUGUCUGAAUAACAGUCAGGUGGGUGUAAUUACAUUUAUUAAAAUUUUUAUUGAAACACGCAUUUUUUGUAAAAUUAAACACUCUUCACACAUAAAGUGUUUCAGCGAGUUAAAGUGCUUUAGGGGUCUGAUUGAACAUUAUGGGAAUUGCUAUCACCUCUUCUUAGCCCUCUUGGGUGUGUCUCCCUCUUAGCGCCCCUCAAUAUCUCUGUUCUAUUCCCAGUGUGUCAUACUUUCUCGCUAUUGUGUCUCUACUCUCUAACCCGUUGUGGCUCUCCUUAGGCCCUCUUUUGUCUCUACUCAAUCUCCAUUUGGUUUAUAUCAUCUCUUUACUGUUUAUUUCUCUCCACCUCCCCCAGUUGGUCUCUCCUACCUUAGUUUGUCUCUCUCUGUCUCUAGUUUACCCCUCCCCAAUUCUAUCUAUUCCAUCUCUCCCUUUUUCCAGUCUGUAUCAUCCUUGCACCAGUCUGUCUCAUCAUCUCCCAUAUUCUCUUUUUCCCCUCCAUUGUGUCUACCCCCAUUCUGACUCGUUUUCUUCUCCUGUCUGCCUCUUCCUCUCCCCUAAUCUCUCUGUCCUGCUCUCUCAGUCUGUCUGUAUCCUUCACCUGUCUGUUAGUACACUGGAAAACUAACACAUUAAAUGGAUAUGUAGCUAAUGUUUUAUUACAUGUUUAGAUUAACAAUAAAAAUCUGUAUUGGUCUGAUGGUAGAAAAUAACUUUUCCGAAGCAAUAAUAGUUAAUAAUAAGUUUAUAUAAAACACAAUUUUAGAAAGGAAAAGCUGAUAAAAAUGCUCAAAUCACCAAGUGUGAGUCACUCCAAAUCACACAAAGAACCAUACAAUACAAUAAUAAUAUAGUGAGAGCAAACUCU